rnacentral:rRNA from 1 species
CCGCGUGAGUGAAGAAGGUUUUCGGAUCGUAAAGCUCUGUUGUCAGGGAAGAACAAGUACCGGAGUCACUGCCGGUACCUUGACGGUACCUGACCAGAAAGCCACGGCUAACUACGUGCCAGCAGCCGCGGUAAUACGUAGGUGGCAAGCGUUGUCCGGAAUUAUUGGGCGUAAAGCGCGCGCAGGCGGCCUUUUAAGUCUGAUGUGAAAGCCCACGGCUCAACCGUGGAGGGUCAUUGGAAACUGGAAGGCUUGAGUGCAGAAGAGGAGAGCGGAAUUCCACGUGUAGCGGUGAAAUGCGUAGAGAUGUGGAGGAACACCAGUGGCGAAGGCGGCUCUCUGGUCUGUAACUGACGCUGAGGCGCGAAAGCGUGGGGAGCGAACAGGAUUAGAUACCCUGGUAGUCCACGCCGUAAACGAGUGAGUGCUAAGUGUUGGAGGGUUUCCGCCCUUCAGUGCUGCAGCUAACGCAUUAAGCACUCCGCCUGGGGAGUACGGCCGCAAGGCUGAAACUCAAAGGAAUUGACGGGGGCCCGCACAAGCGGUGGAGCAUGUGGUUUAAUUCGAAGCAACGCGAAGAACCUUACCAGGUCUUGACAUCCUCUGACACCUCUGGAGACAGAGCGUUCCCCUUCGGGGGACAGAGUGACAGGUGGUGC